rnacentral:rRNA from 1 species
CAAGGUUAAAACUCAAAUGAAUUGACGGGGACCCGCACAAGUAGUGGAGCAUGUGGUUUAAUUCGAAGAUACGCGCAGAACCUUACCAACACUUGACAUGUUAGUCGCGACUCUAAGAGAUUAGAGUUUUCGGUUCGGCCGGACGAAACACAGGUGCUGCAUGGCUGUCGUCAGCUCGUGUCGUGAGAUGUUGGGUUAAGUCCCGCAACGAGCGCAACCCUCACUUUUAGUUGCCAUCAUUAAGUUGGGCACUCUGAAAGAACUGCCAGUGAUAAGCUGGAGGAAGGUGGGGAUGACGUCAAGUCCUCAUGGCCCUUACGUGUUGGGCUACACACGUGCUACAAUGGCAUCUACAACAGGAAGCAAAACGGCAACGUUAAGCAAAUCCCGAAAAGAUGCCUCAGUUCGGAUUGCACUCUGCAACUCGAGUGCAUGAAGCUG